rnacentral:lncRNA from 1 species
CAACAAUUUGCAAAUGUUAACGUGUAUUAUUCAUAUUAGAAUACCAAAGUUGUCUGAUAAAUAGGAACGAAUCUUACUGAAUAUUAGUUUGAGUUGAUGAUCAGUUUUAUACAAUUACUGGUAGUUAUUGUUCAACUAUUAUCACAAUCUACAAAUUAAGUCUUGUAUUUUUUUAUCUUAUUUCCUCUGAUCAGUUUUCUCUUCUUUUUUGUUGGGGGGGGGGGGGGGGGGGGCAAUAUUGGCUGCAGUGUUAUUUUUACUGUAAGACGUUACGUUGAAUGGAUAUUUCAUUGAUUAGUUCAUAUAAAUAGAGCUUUGUAAUUUUCGAAUUGUUUUCCUUUACAGUUAUAGUGGAUUUGGAUUUUAUUUUCAAAUGUCACUGACGAGGGGUUAUUGAUGAAAUAUGACCUAUGUUUGACCCAGACUGUGAUUACCACGUGAUGUCUGUAAUUGUAGCAUACAUUGUAACCUACAUUUUUACAACUUUUUAAAGGUCAUGUUGCGUAAACAAAAUUGAUCUAUUUCACAGUCUUUUAAUAGCAUAAUUUUCUAAAAUAUUUCAUGGAUUACAUAAUGAAGAAGAAGUUGUGAUGCUUUUACCAAUUGUAUCAGAUAUUUUAAAUGUAAAAUAUAAAAAUGGUAUAAAAUUAUAUUCUAUCUUUUUUCAUGAUUUCUAUUCUUUAUGAAAUUCUUAUUGAAUCAAAUCCACUGUUGAGAUACCAAAAGGCCAUUCAAACUCAUAUGUAAAAAAAAACAACUGACAAAGCCAUUGCUGAAAAAGAAAAAGACCAACCGACAAACAAUCGUGCAAAAACAUGGCAUAAACACAACAGACUGAGCAACACGAACCCAUUGAAAACAUGUGGCUCCCAUCGAGUGACUCAUUUAAGUACCAAGCCGGAAUUAAGUCUCAUUUGAAAGGUCACAUUCGGGAACAGGGG